rnacentral:rRNA from 6 species
AGACCCGAAACCCGGUGAUCUAGCCAUGGGCAGGUUGAAGGUUGGGUAACACUAACUGGAGGACCGAACCGACUAAUGUUGAAAAAUUAGCGGAUGACCUGUGGCUGGGGGUGAAAGGCCAAUCAAACCGGGAGAUAGCUGGUUCUCCCCGAAAGCUAUUUAGGUAGCGCCUCGUGAAUUCAUCUCCGGGGGUAGAGCACUGUUUCGGCUAGGGGGCCAUCCCGGCUUACCAACCCGAUGCAAACUGCGAAUACCGGAGAAUGUUAUCACGGGAGACACACGGCGGGUGCUAACGUCCGUCGUGAAGAGGGAAACAACCCAGACCGCCAGCUAAGGUCCCAAAGUCAUGGUUAAGUGGGAAACGAUGUGGGAAGGCCCAGACAGCCAGGAUGUUGGCUUAGAAGCAGCCAUCAUUUAAAGAAAGCGUAAUAGCUCACUGGUCGAGUCGGCCUGCGCGGAAGAUGUAACGGGGCUAAACCAUGCACCGAAGCUGCGGCAGCGAACGUAUCACCCAAGACAACUUUACGGAGUUGACGAUUGACGGAGCGAAGCGACGUCAAAGCGUUCAUUAAAGUCGAGUUGGCUUAGGGAUACGUUCGUUGGGUAGGGGAGCGUUCUGUAAGCCUGUGAAGGUGUGUCGUGAGGCAUGCUGGAGGUAUCAGAAGUGCGAAUGCUGACAUAAGUAACGAUAAAGCGGGUGAAAAGCCCGCUCGCCGGAAGACCAAGGGUUCCUGUCCAACGUUAAUCGGGGCAGGGUGAGUCGACCCCUAAGGCGAGGCCGAAAGGCGUAGUCGAUGGGAAACGGGUUAAUAUUCCCGUACUUGGUGUUACUGCGAAGGGGGGACGGAGAAGGCUAUGUUGGCCGGGCGACGGUUGUCCCGGUUUAAGCGUGUAGGUGUGUGUUCCAGGUAAAUCCGGUUCACUUUAACACUGAGGCGUGACGACGAGG